rnacentral:rRNA from 1 species
UACGUAGGUGGCAAGCGUUGUCCGGAUUUACUGGGCGUAAAGAGCGCGCAGGCGGUCGGAUAAGUCGAAUGUGAAAGCCCCCGGCUCAACUGGGGAGGGUCAUUCGAUACUGUUCGACUCGAAGGCAGGAGAGGGAAGUGGAAUUCCCGGUGUAGUGGUGAAAUGCGUAGAUAUCGGGAGGAACACCAGUGGCGAAGGCGGGUCGUCUGGGCCGUAACUGACGCUGAGGCGCGAAAGCUGGGGGAGCAAACGGGG